rnacentral:rRNA from 1 species
GACAGAGGGUGCAACGUUGUUCGGAUUUACUGGGCGUAAAGCGCGUGUAGGCGGCUUCGUAAGUUGGAUGUGAAAUCCCACGGCUCAACCGUGGACGUGCAUCCAAAACUACGUCGCUGGAGUCUCGGAGAGGAAGGUGGAAUGCUUGGUGUAGAGGUGAAAUUCGUAGAUAUCAAGCAGAACACCUGCGGCGAAGGCGGCCUCUGGACGAUGACUGACGCUGAGACGCGAAAGCGUGGGGAGAAACAGG